AACUGUACUUAUAUGCUUAUACCCCAAAUAGAUGCACACACACAUAUAUAUAUAUACACAUAUAUGUGUGUGUGUAUGUAUGUAUAUAUAAUAUUAAAA
ensembl:miRNA Gm24999 predicted gene, 24999